rnacentral:rRNA from 2 species
GCUGGCGGCAGGCUUACACAUGCAAGUCGAGCGCCCCGCAAGGGGAGCGGCAGACGGGUGAGUAACGCGUGGGAACGUACCUUUUGCUACGGAAUAACUNAGGGAAACUUGUGCUAAUACCGUAUGUGCCCUUCGGGGGAAAGAUUUAUCGGCAAAGGAUCGGCCCGCGUUGGAUUAGCUAGUUGGUGAGGUAAAGGCUCACCAAGGCGACGAUCCAUAGCUGGUCUGAGAGGAUGAUCAGCCACACUGGGACUGAGACACGGCCCAGACUCCUACGGGAGGCAGCAGUGGGGAAUAUUGGACAAUGGGCGCAAGCCUGAUCCAGCCAUGCCGCGUGAGUGAUGAAGGCCCUAGGGUUGUAAAGCUCUUUCACCGGUGAAGAUAAUGACGGNAACCGGAGAAGAAGCCCCGGCUAACUUCGUGCCAGCAGCCGCGGUAAUACGAAGGGGGCUAGCGUUGUUCGGAUUUACUGGGCGUAAAGC